UGUGUGUGUUAGUGGAAGCGUCUGGAAAGGCGCGCGAUACAGGGUGACAGCCCCGUACACAAAAAUGCACAUGCUGUGAGCUCGAUGAGUAGGGCGGGACACGUGGUAUCCUGUCUGAAUAUGGGGGGACCAUCCUCCAAGGCUAAAUACUCCUGACUGACCGAUAGUGAACCAGUACCGUGAGGGAAAGGCGAAAAGAACCCCGGCGAGGGGAGUGAAAAAGAACCUGAAACCGUGUACGUACAAGCAGUGGGAGCACAGAGCAAUCUGUGUGACUGCGUACCUUUUGUAUAAUGGGUCAGCGACUUAUAUUCUGUAGCAAGGUUAACCGAAUAGGGGAGCCGAAGGGAAACCGAGUCUUAACUGGGCGUUAAGUUGCAGGGUAUAGACCCGAAACCCGGUGAUCUAGCCAUGGGCAGGUUGAAGGUUGGGUAACACUAACUGGAGGACCGAACCGACUAAUGUUGAAAAAUUAGCGGAUGACUUGUGGCUGGGGGUGAAAGGCCAAUCAAACCGGGAGAUAGCUGGUUCUCCCCGAAAGCUAUUUAGGUAGCGCCUCGUGAAUUCAUCUCCGGGGGUAGAGCACUGUUUCGGCAAGGGGGUCAUCCCGACUUACCAACCCGAUGCAAACUGCGAAUACCGGAGAAUGUUAUCACGGGAGACACACGGCGGGUGCUAACGUCCGUCGUGAAGAGGGAAACAACCCAGACCGCCAGCUAAGGUCCCAAAGUCAUGGUUAAGUGGGAAACGAUGUGGGAAGGCCCAGACAGCCAGGAUGUUGGCUUAGAAGCAGCCAUCAUUUAAAGAAAGCGUAAUAGCUCACUGGUCGAGUCGGCCUGCGCGGAAGAUGUAACGGGGCUAAACCAUGCACCGAAGCUGCGGCAGCGACGCUUAUGCGUUGUUGGGUA
rnacentral:rRNA from 1 species